rnacentral:rRNA from 1 species
UCUCAAAGAUUAAGCCAUGCAUGUCUCAGUGCAAGCCAAAUUAAGGUGAAACCGCGAAUGGCUCAUUACAUCAGUUAUGGUUCCUUAGAUCGUACCCACAUUACUUGGAUAACUGUGGUAAUUCUAGAGCUAAUACAUGCAAAUAGAUUUCCGACCAGAGAUGGAAGGAAUGCUUUUAUUAGAUCAAAACCAAUCGGUGGUGGGCUUGUCUUGCCACCGUUUGACUUGGUGACUCUGAAUAACUUUGUGCUGAUCGCACGGUCUCGUACCGGCGACGCAUCUUUCAAAUGUCUGCCUUAUCAACUGUCGAUGGUAGUUUCUGCGACUACCAUGGUUGUUACGGGUAACGGGGAAUCAGGGUUCGAUUCCGGAGAGGGAGCCUGAGAAACGGCUACCACAUCCAAGGAAGGCAGCAGGCGCGCAAAUUACCCACUCCCGGCACGGGGAGGUAGUGACGAAAAAUAACGAUACGGGACUCAUCCGAGGCCCCGUAAUCGGAAUGAGUACACUUUAAAUCCUUUAACAAGGACCAUUGGAGGGCAAGCCUGGUGCCAGCAGCCGCGGUAAUUCCAGCUCC